rnacentral:lncRNA from 1 species
UUACUACCCCAUUAUGUCAUUAGAGGAUGGUUGAAAGGAAUCUAAGUAAUAACAAUCAUCCAGAAACUUUGGUUGCUCUGGUCAGGAAAAUUACUGACCCCCAAUAAUUUUCCACACUUCGAACAUAUGAGCAUAACAAAAACUGGAAGCAUUUCAUAUAAAAGAAAAGACCUGGAAAAGAGUAAAACAAACAUCCAAGUAUCAAACUGGAAGAAAAUAAAGGAUGGCGGAUGUGUUGUAAAAAUUACUGACCCCCAAUAAUUUUCCAUACUUUACAUAUAUAUGAGCGUAAUUUUCCAAUCAUUUUCCAUACUUGAGAGUUUAAUUACUACCCCAAUAAUAUUCUUCACCUUAUACCUCCGGUUAGAGCCCUAAUCAUGUUUGAGAGCAUAUGACAUUGUGAUUUCGUUUGUUGUUGGGGCGUUUCGAAUUCGCAUAUGUGAGAAAAUUUCGGCAACAUCUCCCAACAGUUCCCCAAGUGCACAAAUAUCUAUACCUAGAAUACACUCGAGGAACAAUAAUUAAAGGAAGAUCUUGUCGAAAUAUAUAUACCCACAACCGAAAACGAAAGACACCAACAAUAAACAGGAUCUCAAUGUCAUAUGCUCCCAAACUGUCCAAAUAUGAGACAAUUCGAAAACCAUUUUGUUAGACACAGUCGUAACAUAAUGGUUCUCGAACAGGAUUUCUAAGGGUAACAAUAUAUAUUGAUGAAUGUAUAAGAAUAUUAUAAUUCUUAAUUACAUGAUUCAUUAUUUUUUAUCAUAUGAUGAUAAUAACACACAAAUCGAUUUGACUGAAAACAAAAUUUGAUAAACAUUAAUCAUACAUACAAAAGCUAAAGAUAUAUAUAUAUAUAUAUAUAUCUUUAAAAAUUAUACACACAAAAGUUAGAUAUAUAUACAAACAUAAUACUAUAUAGUUUUCAUGCAUAUAUAAUAUUAUACGUACGUACAAACAUAUUAUACACACAUAUCCAGUAAUUAAAUUAAGCAUACAAGUAAGUAACAAUCCAUCAAAAUUGGACCGGCAAGUCGCCGAAAGUUCGCAGAAAAUAUGCCUAAAAGAAAAAAGUAAAUAUAUUAAUUAAAGUAGUUACAUAUAUACCAAUUAGCUAAGAGAUCGAGACCGAGGCGCGCAGAUCUUCAAGAUCGAUCAACUUCAUGAAGAAAAGCUUCUAAAACUAGAUUUGGAUCGGAUGAAUAUUCCCACGGGGACCGGGGGGGGGGGGGG